AUUGAACGCUGGCGGCAUGCUUUACACAUGCAAGUCGAACGGCAGCGCGGGCUUCGGCCUGGCGGCGAGUGGCGAACGGGUGAGUAAUGCAUCGGAACGUGCCCAGUAGUGGGGGAUAGCCCGGCGAAAGCCGGAUUAAUACCGCAUACGACCUGAGGGUGAAAGCGGGGGACCGAAAGGCCUCGCGCUCUUGGAGCGUCCGAUGUCGGAUUAGCUAGUUGGUGGGGUAAAGGCUUACCAAGGCGACGAUCCGUAGCUGGUCUGAGAGGACGGCCAGCCACACUGGGACUGAGACACGGCCCAGACUCCUACGGGAGGCAGCAGUGGGGAAUUUUGGACAAUGGGGGCAACCCUGAUCCAGCCAUGCCGCGUGCGGGAAGAAGGCCUUCGGGUUGUAAACCGCUUUUGUUCGGGAAGAAAUCCUCUGGGCUAAUACCCCGGGGGGAUGACGGUACCGGAAGAAUAAGCACCGGCUAACUACGUG
rnacentral:rRNA from 1 species